rnacentral:lncRNA from 1 species
CCCAGUAGGAGAAGCAGAUCAGAUCACAAACAAGUCAAGAAAUAGUACCAAUCAUUCCAGAUGGUGUUGAGGGGGACAAAGCAAAAGAACUGUGGGCCAGGACAGAGUCAUGGGGAGACCUCCCCAUGACUGGGGAGUCAGGGACUGCCUCUCCAAAGAGGAGACCCUGAAGAUGAGCCCCUGGAGGGUAAGGAGGAGCUGACUGGGGGACUCCCAGGAGUAAGAUGGAAGUCUUGGGGUACAGGAGUUCAGUUAAGAAAGUUAAUGGAAGGGACGCUUGGGGGGCAUGGUUGGUUGAGCGUCUGACUCUUGGUUUCAGCUCAGGUCAUGAUCUCAGGGUCACGAUCUCAUGGUCGUGAGAUCAAGCCCCACGUCGGGCUCUGAGCUCAGCGCAGAGUCUGUUUGAGAUUCUCUCUCUCCUUCUGCCCUUCCCAUUCGUGCUUGAUCUCUUUCUCUCUUUCUGAGAUAAAUAAAUCUUAAAAAAAAAAAAAAAAGAAAGAAAGAAAGUUAAUGGAAAAGCUAUGCCAAUGACUCAGCUGACUGGAGCUUUGUGCUGAGGAGCCCAGGGUUGUGUUCUAGAAACCUUAACCUGGAGCUCUAACUCAGGCUAGCCCCGGAAAACACAGCUUUGGUUCAAAAGAGAACAGCUGGGCAAGUAAGGUGUUUCCACGGUUGGGCGUCCACCUCCACAGAGGUAUCUGGAGUUCUUCCCGAGAGCCAGCGCUCUCUCGGCCCUGGGGAUCCGGAGGCAAGUGGGACCACGAGGAGCUCACGCUCUACUGGAAGCAAUCAGUCAGAUGAAUGCCUGCAAGUUGUUUGGAGACAUUCAACAAGAAGUCUGCAAAGGAGGGUUCGCUCUGCAGAGAGCAGGGGUCGCAAACUACAGCCUGCGGACCAAAUUCUGCCCACAGAGCCAAGCCCGGCCGGCUGUUUUUGCAUAUAAAGUUUUAUUGGCACACAGCCAUGCUCGUUGGUUUGCACACUGUCUGUGGCUGCUUUCGCACUACAAAGGCAGAGUUGAGCCCAUGUGACAGAGCCCAUGUGGCCCACAAAGCCGAAAAUAUCUACUCUGUGGCCCUUACAGAAAAAGUUUGCCAAGC